UUGAUGCAUAUAAUCACAGCAGUAUGAUGAUUCUAUGUGUCUACAUUAAAACAUUCUUCUUCAUACUGCAUUAAUAUAUGCUACUUUAAAACUUUCAUGCAGAGAAGGAAAACACAACUAAAAAAAAUCACUAUUUUUUUCAUACGGUGUUGAUCUGGAAAUGUUUGCCUCGGCAUUUUGAUGGUGUGGGCGUGUGGCACCGAACGGAGAUGUUGACAUGCAGAGUUUCAAGCACUCUUCAUUCUCUAGCAGGUGACUUUUCAAAUGAUGCUACAUAUUAGCAGUAAUGCUACUUUUAAUAGCAACGUUUUUGCCCCACACUUGACAAAUUACGGUUGUCUGUUCAACAUAAUCCCACUUGAAGCCAAACCACCGCCAGACGAUGGACCCCCUGCUGUUUUUGGGGGGAAUUAAUUAUUCCUUCAUUUGUUACCAGAUUCGCACCUUCUCUCUCUCUCGUAUUACCACUCGCACGGCUGCGCUAGCAUCACAGCUCACGUUACCCAUGCUGCUACCUCUUUGCUGCGUGAGGGCGUAUACGUAUGUGACGUGUGUAAGAAGGUGCGCUUGUCUGUCUGUGAGAAGGAGACACAGGAAAGAGCGAGGAGAGCCUGUAGUGUAAUGCCCGCAGCUAAAAGCAACUGCGUGAGAACGUAUACUCGAAUAUCACGAUAUAGUCAUUUUCUAUAUCGCACAGAGACAAACCCGCGAUAUAUCGCCCAGCCCUAGUACCACUUGUGAAAUCUAAUCACCUGCCAGCUGUGUCUCGCCGUCAGCCCAUGCCCCGCCCCUAUCCGAUGGUGCUCGUCCUCAACACCACAGACAGACGCGGGUGACCUUUGCUCCUGCAGGCGCGCUGGCCACACCUCCCUCCACAACAUGCUACUGGUUAGCAUUAGCAAUUUUUAAAUGUUCAAAUGCCUCCAAAUUUGGUAACUUAAAAACUAUAACUAAGAUGCCCGUUAAGUACGAUACUUAACGUAUAAACAUUUUGUAGGGUUUAACUUAAGACUAGCUCAUUCAACUUAAUGCUAAUGAACCAAUGCUACUGGAUAGCACAGUUAUCAGUUUAAUGUUAAAAAAUAAAACAUGCAGUUUGUUAUUUAACACAUUUAAAACAUUCUACCACACAAACACUAGGGGCGACUUUAGGAUUGAAUAAGAUCUAGAUAGGGCUAAGCCAAGAUGGGUUUUUUUUGUGUUUUGUCAAAUUUGAAAUACACUUACAAAUGAUUAGGCUAUAUUUUAAUCAGGCACUACUAUUAUUUUACAUUACGAUGCGUCGCUAACAUUUGGCAAAGGAGCAGAGUACAGAUCCACAAACCCGGAUCAUCACCCGUUUACUCGUAAUACUUUUUGUUUAAAAAAAAUAUUUUUUCUGAAUGUUCAUGUUUACAGUUUUCCAAUGGCUUCUUCUUCACAGGAGGCUCAGGCAGGCUACUUUAUGCAACUGCUGCCUCUCUGUUGGACUGCGGUACUGCACGAGAGACUGAUUCCCAGGUACCGGGAAUCGGUACCGUAUGGAUUCAAAGGUGUAAGAAAUGGCAACAGCGGAGGAUGAAUAUCCCAUAACAAGAAGAUAAAGAAAAAGAAGAAGCUUAUCGACUACGGUGUGGGCACGGACUACAAAGGCGGACACGCGCACAUUUUCAGGACUUGUGCAGAUCCCAAAUACACAUCAGCAGGUACCAAAAGGGGGUGUCCAAACUUCUGCCCGCCAGCCUCUUCAAUUUGGCCUGCGAGACGUCAUGAGUUUCCAUCCAUCCAUCCAUCCAUCUUCUUCCGCUUAUCCGAGGUCGGGUCGCGGGAGCAGCAGCCUAAGCAGGGAAGCCCAGACUUCCCUCUCCCCAGCCACUUCGUCCAGCUCUUCCUGUGGGACCCCGAGGCGUUCCCAGGCCAGCUGGGGCUAGUCUUCCCAACGUGUCCUGGGUCUUCCCCGUGGCCUCCUAC